AUUUAUAAAAGGAAUUGACUUGAUAACUUUCCUGGAUUCAAAUUAAAGCAAUUUAAUAAACUGUGGGACAUCUCUACGUUUAAUUCAACAGUUCUUUAUAUGUGUAACUUCAGAAAGUCAACUUUACAUUAUAAAAAAUGGGAAUUUUGUGGGCAAAUGGCAGAUGUAAAGUUCUCAGUUAUUGAGUGUGUUAUAAGAACUUAACUGCAAAAAUAAAUAGUUUCUGUGCUGAUCAAGUGCAGGUGCUGCAGCUAGGAAGUUUAAUCAGGAACUGUUUGGUGCCAAAGAUUCCUUUGACAAAUUACUCAAUUAUUCCCAAAAAUCAACAUAGAUUUUGAAUUUCAGUCUGUUGAUGCUGACUGUGGCUGAAAUAUGAAUGUUUAGUUUGGCUUCAGCCAGGCACCCUCUGUGCAGACAAACGUAUCCUGAAGAGCUUGAGCCAGUCACUUCCUUCUUUAAACCAUUGAAGUGAGGUCUGAAGAAUGGUCUCGACCCAAAACGCCACCUAUUCCUUUUUCUCCAGAGUUGCUGUCUGACCCGUCCAUCUUGGAUCAUUUCCUCUUCAGAAUCCAGCACCAUGGAACUAGUCGCAUGCCUUCCUGCUCUGAUACUUCCUCUGAUUGGGACGACCUGAAUUCUCUGGAGAUGAAGGGUUGCUUUCUCUCCUGCCUUUGGGAAGAUGGAAAAGGAGCCAGAAAACUAUAACAUCCAGGUUCAGAAACAGCUUCUUACCAACAACCAUCAGGCUAUUGAACACUACAAACCACAACUAAGAAUGUAUUUGUUCUAUUUUAGCACAUGUGAUAAUAAAACACCCUUGACUCUUGUGUCUCGCCUUUACUUAUGUUUCUGAUUGUGUGACCAC